UGGAUUCAGACUUUGAUCAUGGCUCAGGAUGAACGCUAGCUACAGGCUUAACACAUGCAAGUCGAGGGGCAGCGGGAUUGAAGCUUGCUUCAAUUGCCGGCGACCGGCGCACGGGUGAGUAACGCGUAUCCAACCUUCCGUACACUCAGGGAUAGCCUUUCGAAAGAAAGAUUAAUACCUGAUAGUAUCUUAAGCACACAUGUAAUUAAGAUUAAAGAUUUAUCGGUGUACGAUGGGGAUGCGUUCCAUUAGGUAGUAGGCGGGGUAACGGCCCACCUAGCCAACGAUGGAUAGGGUUCUGAGAGGAAGGUCCCCCACAUUGGAACUGAGACACGGUCCAAACUCCUACGGGAGGCAGCAGUGAGGAAUAUUGGUCAAUGGACGAGAGUCUGAACCAGCCAAGUAGCGUGAAGGAUGAAGGUCCUACGGAUUGUAAACUUCUUUUAUAAGGGAAUAAACCCUCCCACGUGUGGGAGCUUGUAUGUACCUUAUGAAUAAGCAUCGGCUAAUUCCGUGCCAGCAGCCGCGGUAAUACGGAGGAUGCGAGCGUUAUCCGGAUUUAUUGGGUUUAAAGGGAGCGCAGACGGGUCGUUAAGUCAGCUGUGAAAGUUUGGGGCUCAACCUUAAAAUUGCAGUUGAUACUGGCGUCCUUGAGUGCGGUUGAGGUGUGCGGAAUUCGUGGUGUAGCGGUGAAAUGCUUAGAUAUCACGAAGAACUCCGAUUGCGAAGGCAGCACACUAAUCCGUAACUGACGUUCAUGCUCGAAAGUGUGGGUAUCAAACAGGAUUAGAUACCCUGGUAGUCCACACGGUAAACGAUGGAUACUCGCUGUUGGCGAUGUACUGUCAGCGGCUUAGCGAAAGCGUUAAGUAUCCCACCUGGGGAGUACGCCGGCAACGGUGCAACUCAAA
rnacentral:rRNA from 1 species